AGACCCGAAACCCGGUGAUCUAGCCAUGGGCAGGUUGAAGGUUGGGUAACACUAACUGGAGGACCGAACCGACUAAUGUUGAAAAAUUAGCGGAUGACCUGUGGCUGGGGGUGAAAGGCCAAUCAAACCGGGAGAUAGCUGGUUCUCCCCGAAAGCUAUUUAGGUAGCGCCUCGUGAAUUCAUCUCCGGGGGUAGAGCACUGUUUCGGCUAGGGGGCCAUCCCGGCUUACCAACCCGAUGCAAACUGCGAAUACCGGAGAAUGUUAUCACGGGAGACACACGGCGGGUGCUAACGUCCGUCGUGAAGAGGGAAACAACCCAGACCGCCAGCUAAGGUCCCAAAGUCAUGGUUAAGUGGGAAACGAUGUGGGAAGGCCCAGACAGCCAGGAUGUUGGCUUAGAAGCAGCCAUCAUUUAAAGAAAGCGUAAUAGCUCACUGGUCGAGUCGGCCUGCGCGGAAGAUGUAACGGGGCUAAACCAUGCACCGAAGCUGCGGCAGCGAACGUAUCACCCAAGACAACUUUACGGAGUUGACGAUUGACGGAGCGAAGCGACGUCAAAGCGUUCAUUAAAGUCGAGUUGGCUUAGGGAUACGUUCGUUGGGUAGGGGAGCGUUCUGUAAGCCUGUGAAGGUGUGUCGUGAGGCAUGCUGGAGGUAUCAGAAGUGCGAAUGCUGACAUAAGUAACGAUAAAGCGGGUGAAAAGCCCGCUCGCCGGAAGACCAAGGGUUCCUGUCCAACGUUAAUCGGGGCAGGGUGAGUCGACCCCUAAGGCGAGGCCGAAAGGCGUAGUCGAUGGGAAACGGGUUAAUAUUCCCGUACUUGGUGUUACUGCGAAGGGGGGACGGAGAAGGCUAUGUUGGCCGGGCGACGGUUGUCCCGGUUUAAGCGUGUAGGUGUGUGUUCCAGGUAAAUCCGGUUCACUUUAACACUGAGGCGUGACGACGAGGCACUACGGUGCUGAAGCAACAAAUGCCCUGCUUCCAGGAAAAGCCUCUAAGCAUCAGGUAACACGAAAUCGUACCCCAAACCGACACAGGUGGUCAGGUAGAGAAUACCAAGGCGCUUGAGAGAACUCGGGUGAAGGAACUAGGCAAA
rnacentral:rRNA from 1 species